ACUCCUACGGGAGGCAGCAGUGGGGAAUAUUGGACAAUGGGCGAAAGCCUGAUCCAGCCAUGCCGCGUGUGUGAAGAAGGUCUUCGGAUUGUAAAGCACUUUAAGUUGGGAGGAAGGGCAGUAACCUAAUACGUUAUUGUUUUGACGUUACCGACAGAAUAAGCACCGGCUAACUUCGUGCCAGCAGCCGCGGUAAUAC
rnacentral:rRNA from 1 species